GAGUUUGAUCAUGGCUCAGGAUGAACGCUGGCGGCGUGCUUAACACAUGCAAGUCGAACGGUGAAGGUGGAGCUUGCUCCACCGGAUCAGUGGCGAACGGGUGAGUAACACGUGAGCAAUCUGCCCCUGACUCUGGGAUAAGCGCUGGAAACGGCGUCUAAUACCGGAUACGAACUGCGAAGGCAUCUUCAGCAGUUGGAAAGAAUUUCGGUCAGGGAUGAGCUCGCGGCCUAUCAGCUUGUUGGUGAGGCAAUGGCUCACCAAGGCGUCGACGGGUAGCCGGCCUGAGAGGGUGACCGGCCACACUGGGACUGAGACACGGCCCAGACUCCUACGGGAGGCAGCAGUGGGGAAUAUUGCACAAUGGGCGCAAGCCUGAUGCAGCAACGCCGCGUGAGGGACGACGGCCUUCGGGUUGUAAACCUCUUUUAGCAGGGAAGAAGCGAAAGUGACGGUACCUGCAGAAAAAGCGCCGGCUAACUACGUGCCAGCAGCCGCGGUAAUACGUAGGGCGCAAGCGUUAUCCGGAAUUAUUGGGCGUAAAGAGCUCGUAGGCGGUUUGUCGCGUCUGCUGUGAAAUCCCGAGGCUCAACCUCGGGUCUGCAGUGGGUACGGGCAGACUAGAGUGCGGUAGGGGAGAUUGGAAUUCCUGGUGUAGCGGUGGAAUGCGCAGAUAUCAGGAGGAACACCGAUGGCGAAGGCAGAUCUCUGGGCCGUAACUGACGCUGAGGAGCGAAAGGGUGGGGAGCAAACAGGCUUAGAUACCCUGGUAGUCCACCCCGUAAACGUUGGGAACUAGUUGUGGGGUCCAUUCCACGGAUUCCGUGACGCAGCUAACGCAUUAAGUUCCC
rnacentral:rRNA from 1 species